rfam:Candidatus Atribacteria bacterium RBG_16_35_8 RBG_16_scaffold_3890, whole genome shotgun sequence.
GUAUUUUAAUCGCUAAAUCCCUUAAAAAAGGGAACGGGGGAACCAAGAUUUUGGGGUGAAUCUCAUUACCUUUAGUUUCUGUAAUGAGUAGGGCAAUCCUUUCAGCUCGAAUCCGUCAGCUAACUUCGUCAGCGAGAAAGGAGAUAUGA